GGGUUUUUCACAAACUGGUUUAUCAUUCACAAUGAUUAGGUUCCCCCUUAUUUGAAGGGGGGGUGCAUAAAAUGCCACUUAUGUUUUUUUUAAAUUUAAUUUUAUUUAUUAUUUUAUGCAGCAGGUUCUCAUUAGUUAUCCAUUUUAUACAUAUUAGUGUAUAUAUGUCAAUCCCAAUCUCCCAAUUCAUCCCACCACCACCCUCCCCUCGCCACUUUCCCCCCUUGGUGUCCAUACAUUUGUUCUCUACAUCUGUGUUCUCUACAUCAUGUUUUUAAAUGAUUUUUUCUCUUUGCCUUUCCUGUUAGUGUAACCGGAGGUGGGGUCUAGCUGCUCGCCGCUCAAAAGCAAGUAAAGAGGCAAGGGCUUCCCUGGUGGCGCAGUGGUUGAGAGUCUGCCUGCCGAUGCAGGGGACGCGGAUUCGUGCCCCGGUCCGGGAAGAUCCCACAUGCCGCGGAGCGGCUGGGCCCACGAGCCAUGGCCGCUGAGCCUGCGCGUCCGGAGCCUGUGCUCCGCAACGGGAGAGGCCACAACAGUGAGAGGCCCGUGUACCGCAAAAAAAAAAAAACAACGCAACUCUGUUUUAAUUUAAUUUUUCUUGAGGUAACAUUGGUUACCGCCUCUCAGCUCGAAAUUCACUCUUUUGUUACUUGCUGUGUGAAAAGUGCUAUGGGUCCUUUAAAUAGUUUUUCCUUGGCCAGCUCAUGUGAUGUUAGGCUUUCCUAAUUGAUGGCACCUGAGGAAGGUGUUGCUUCGUGAUGCCCCGGUGCUUGCUGGGAAGGCUCUUGGUGGCGUCUUCAGCACCCACUCACUCCUGCAGCUCCGAGGGCGUCGUCAGCCCUGCUCCCGGGGCUCACAACUUCUCCGGUAGUCGGCUUCAGCAGUGCGCAGAGAGAGCAGUGGACGACAGCUUCUGUCGGCAUCUUCUAUCAAGCAGUUUUGGAGUAGCGCCUCAGAUGAAGACACUGAGGAAGAGAAAAGUUAAGAAUUUGCCUAUGAUCAGUUAUCCAUCUGUUCAGCCAGUGCACAAAUUACACUGCCCAACUCCAAGAUCAGCCUCCGGAACCGUGAGGAAAAAAAAUUCCUGUUGUUUAUGAGCCACCCAACCUGCAGGAUAAUCUUACAGCAGCCCAAAAGGACAAAGAGAGUUUGGAUGUGAGAUUUUACUCCAAGAAAGAUGGGAAUCUGUUGAAGGAUUUUACCCGGUAACUUAGAAGAGAGAAAAGUUUCAUAACACAAUCAGGUAUUUUUAUAAGAAAAAUUUGUUUCUUUUUCAGAAAGAUCACUCUGGAAAUACUGUGACUAGAUUUUUGGAGAAGUGUGAUGGCAGGCCUGGAUAUAGAAAGAUGAGUUAGUAGUCCAUUAAUAUAAGUCAAACAAGAAAGUGGAUAUAAAAAGUGUGAAUUUGUGGCUGAGAGUUCUUUUCUUUUACUACUUGAAAAAUGUUAUGUCAAUGCUUCUGACUCCAUAAUUUUAGACAAGAAAUAUGCUGUCAUUGGAAUUGGUUUCUCAAUAAGUGAUGCAUCGUUUCUGCCUGUCCACUUUCGAGAUUUUUUUGUCUCUACUUUUCAGAAGUUUAAUUAUGACGCGUCUUGACAAGGAUACCUUUGUGUUUUUCCUCUUUGGAUUUGCUCAGAUUCUUGAAUGUGUGCUUAUGUCUUCUAAAAAAUUGGGAACGUUUUAGUCAUUAUUUCUUUGAAUACUUUGUCAGUCCUACGUGCUCUCUUUUUUCAUUCUGGAACUUUGAUGAUAUGAAUGUUAGUGCUUUUGUUACUGUUUACAGGUUCUUGAGAUCCUGUUCUUUCUCCCAUCUCUACCCCUCAGCCUAUUUUUCUCUGUACAUUUGGUACACUGUAUUGAUCUCUUCUAAGUUCAUGAUUCUAUGCUUUGUAAUCUCCAGUCUACUCUUGAGCAGUUUUUUGAUUGUUGUAUUUUUCAGUUCUACUGUUCUCAUUUGUUUUUAUUCUUAUAACUUCUAGUUCUUUGUUUACAUUUUCUAUUUUUCCCAUUUCCGUCAAGGAACACAUAAUUGCUAACUGAAGCACUUAUGUGACAGCUUAUUUAAAAUCCCUGUCUGAUAAUUUCAAUAGUGCUGGUGUAGGUUUAUUGUCUUUUCUCAUUUAUUCUGUGAUUUCCUGGUUCUUGGUGCCAUGAGUAUUUUUCAAUUGGAUUCUAAACAUUGUGGGUUAUUACAUGACUCUGUAAUUUUAUUAUUAUUUACUUUUAAUUUUAUUAUUUUUAAUUUUAUUAUUACUUUUUAGAAGGAAGUCAUCCUAUUGGAGGUGUAGUAUGAGGACUGGGGGGUUACGUACAGAUUUCCAUUGGGCCCUACUGUCAAUACCCCAGCAAAAGUGGGCACUUACAUUCUCUCACUGCAGACAGAUCAAGUAGAAGUUCAGCUAUCCUAUUGGCCCUUCUGACAUCUUCCCCCCAAAAGUGGGAACAUUAAUAUCACUGUGUUGCCUUUUAGUAGGAGUGGAAGUGCAUCUCCCCAGUAGAUUUCUUGACACCAGGGGAGGGGAGAAGUGAAGUGUUUGCUGUCCUUCCUCCCACUUCAUUCCUUCUUGUUGAUGCCGGGUGUGGGUAGAGGGUCAGCUACCUGCUGGCCCCACUGACACCAGGGUAAGAGGAAGAGAACUGCCAACUAGCCCUGCUUGUGCCAUCUCAUUCUGUCUUACUGCCUCAGGACGGUUAUGGGGAUUCAGCACCCCAUUGGGUCUCACUGGCACCAUGUGUUGGGGGUUAGUGGGGUGCCUACUCCCUCCAACCUGUAACAUCCUAUUCUUAUCGAUGUCGGGGAGAGACGGAGGCUAGGUCCCACCAUUGGACCCCACGACUGUGUGAGGGCAGCCCAGUGUUAACUAGCCUGUCAGGCACCACCUUUGAAAGUCUCUUUGCUAAUGCAAAGGGGUGGAGGCUCAGCUCACCACUGCACCACACUGAAACAGCCCUGGUGGCGAAUCAGAGCGCUGCCUCUUCUGGAGGGCAGGAGUGGGGUGGUGUGGAAGAUCAAAUCCUAGCUUGGCCCAACUGAAACCACAGGACAUAGGGGACGGGUGCAAUAUUCCGCUGGCACUUGGCUCGAGUAGUGUGUAUAUUAUUGCCCAAACGCCUUUCUGUCUUUGGCAACCCCUUUCCUCACACCUUGGCUAGGGGGAACGGGGGUUUUGUGUUUUCUUUUUUGAAGCUUUUUCGUCUGUUGUUCUGUUGGGGGUUAUUGAUUGGGGGUUCCUGUAAUACCCUCUCCAGGAUGUAUGGGAAGCAACAGGAAACACAGGGGACUCAUCACCGUGUUAUUCCUCAAGUCCCAAAGUCCCUAGUUAAGUCUGCCUUCUCAUUUCCACCUUUCAGUGUCUUCCUAUGUUUGUUUGUUGUUAUGUUCAGGGUUUUAGUUUUAAGUGGAAGAACCUGGGAGAAAUGGGCUACUUCAUCUUCUUGGAAGCAGAGGUCUGGAGGCCUAUGGAUGUUACAAAGUACUGCUGACUGUAAAUUAAAAUUUGAUGAUAUACACCUUGCCCUUAAAGAAUUAUUCUCUUAGAUGAUGUGGCUUCCCAAAGUAGCUACAAUUUGAUUUCCAUACUUCUAAAAGUCAAGUGUUUUGCUGGAGUUGAAAUUUAAAGAUAAGCAAGAGAUGAGGCUAAGAUGGUCUAUGUGGUAACAGAUUAAAGUUGGAAACAUCAAUAUACAUUCAUGUUUAGCUUAAUAUUGCUUCAUAUUACCUUAAUACACAUGGUUAUGUAGAGAGGUACUUAUAGAUAUGUGCAUAUACAUGGGUAAUGUACACACAUGUUAUCUCUUGGCUCUGUCAGCUGAGAAGAUCUAGAAGCAAUGACAUCCGGGCAGCAAUCAGCACACCCCACACCCAGAUCCUGCUGUCUAAUACUGUUCUCCACUAAAAAGACCUAGUUAUCCUUGAAGAAAUAGCUGAUUCUAGGAUUGGGGCAGUAAAUAUACAAGGUUUAUAUACAAGACCAUCUUAUAGUGUCAGAAAGUAAGGAAGUUCCAAAAAAAUAUAUAGGAUGGGGAUACCUCAGAGUGGCACACGAGCCACUGAACUGAAAAGAGUUCACAAGGGUCAGGACUAGAGCAAUUUGAGGAACAAAGUAACUAACGUAGAAUUAGAUUAUAACCCAAAGUAUAAAAUGAAAAUCCAUGAGUUCUUCUGAUAUAAAUAAAUGAUUGGAUACGUAAAUAAAUGCAGGAGAAUAGAUAAAUCUCCAGUGCAAAAGAAUUCCAAAUAGUUUAUGUAGUACUCCAUCUUAAGCAUAACUCUCCAUUCCUUAGUUGGGGGCUGAGCAUAUUGACUUCCUUCCAAAAAAUACAAUAUGGAGAAGGGAAAACAGUAAUUUUACAAUGGAGAAACCUGAAAAACACCACCUCAGCCUGGUGAUCAAGGUCGACCUCAGCAUUCAUAAUGCAUAUU